GACGAACGCUGGCGGCGUGCUUAACACAUGCAAGUCGAACGGAAAGGCCUGCUUUCCCUUGUGGAUUGCGGGUACUCGAGUGGCGAACGGGUGAGUAACACGUGAGUGAUCUGCCCCCAACUUGGGUAUAAGCCUGGGAAACUGGGUCUAAUUCCCGAUAGGACUGCAGGGUGGUGCCUGUGGUGGAAAACGAUUUUCUAGUGGUUGGGGAUGAGCUCGCGGCCUAUCAGCUUGUUGGUGGGGUAAUGGCCUACCAAGGCGGCGACGGGUAGCCGGCCUGGGAGGGUGGACGGCCACAUUGGGACUGAGAUACGGCCCAGACUCCUACGGGAGGCAGCAGUGGGGAAUAUUGCACAAUGGGCGGAAGCCUGAUGCAGCCACGCCGCGUGGGGGAUGACGGCCUUCGGGUUGUAAACUCCUUUCGACCGCGAGGAAGCCACCUGGUUGGAAGGGUGGUGACGGUAGUGGUAGAAGAAGCACCGGCUAACUACGUG
rnacentral:rRNA from 1 species